GUAGGGCGGGACACGUGGUAUCCUGUCUGAAUAUGGGGGGACCAUCCUCCAAGGCUAAAUACUCCUGACUGACCGAUAGUGAACCAGUACCGUGAGGGAAAGGCGAAAAGAACCCCGGCGAGGGGAGUGAAAAAGAACCUGAAACCGUGUACGUACAAGCAGUGGGAGCACCUUCGUGGUGUGACUGCGUACCUUUUGUAUAAUGGGUCAGCGACUUAUAUUCUGUAGCAAGGUUAACCGUAUAGGGGAGCCGAAGGGAAACCGAGUCUUAACUGGGCGUUAAGUUGCAGGGUAUAGACCCGAAACCCGGUGAUCUAGCCAUGGGCAGGUUGAAGGUUGGGUAACACUAACUGGAGGACCGAACCGACUAAUGUUGAAAAAUUAGCGGAUGACCUGUGGCUGGGGGUGAAAGGCCAAUCAAACCGGGAGAUAGCUGGUUCUCCCCGAAAGCUAUUUAGGUAGCGCCUCGUGAACUCAUCUUCGGGGGUAGAGCACUGUUUCGGCUAGGGGGCCAUCCCGGCUUACCAACCCGAUGCAAACUACGAAUACCGAAGAAUGUUAUCACGGGAGACACACGGCGGGUGCUAACGUCCGUCGUGAAGAGGGAAACAACCCAGACCGCCAGCUAAGGUCCCAAAGUCAUGGUUAAGUGGGAAACGAUGUGGGAAGGCCCAGACAGCCAGGAUGUUGGCUUAGAAGCAGCCAUCAUUUAAAGAAAGCGUAAUAGCUCACUGGUCGAGUCGGCCUGCGCGGAAGAUGUAACGGGGCUAAACCAUGCACCGAAGCUGCGGCAGCGACACUAUGUGUUGUUGGGUAGGGGAGCGUUCUGUAAGCCGUUGAAGGUGGCCUGUGAGGGUUGCUGGAGGUAUCAGAAGUGCGAAUGCUGACAUAAGUAACGAUAAAGCGGGUGAAAAGCCCGCUCGCCGGAAGACCAAGGGUUCCUGUCCAACGUUAAUCGGGGCAGGGUGAGUCGACCCCUAAGGCGAGGCCGAAAGGCGUAGUCGAUGGGAAACAGGUUAAUAUUCCUGUACUUGGUGUUACUGCGAAGGGGGGACGGAGAAGGCUAUGUUAGCCGGGCGACGGUUGUCCCGGUUUAAGCAUGUAGGCGGAGGUUCCAGGUAAAUCCGGUACCUUUUAACGCUGAGGUGUGAUGACGAGGCACUACGGUGCUGAAGUAACAAAUGCCCUGCUUCCAGGAAAAGCCUCUAAGCAUCAGGUAACACGAAAUCGUACCCCAAACCGACACAGGUGGUCAGGUAGAGAAUACCAAGGCGCUUGAGAGAACUCGGGUGAAGGAACUAGGCAAAAUGGUGCCGUAACUUCGGGAGAAGGCACGCUGAUAUGUAGGUGAAGCCCCUGCGGGUGGAGCUGAAAUCAGUCGAAGAUACCAGCUGGCUGCAACUGUUUAUUAAAAACACAGCACUGUGCAAACACGAAAGUGGACGUAUACGGUGUGACGCCUGCCCGGUGCCGGAAGGUUAAUUGAUGGGGUUAGCGGUAACGCGAAGCUCUUGAUCGAAGCCCCGGUAAACGGCGGCCGUAACUAUAACGGUCCUAAGGUAGCGAAAUUCCUUGUCGGGUAAGUUCCGACCUGCACGAAUGGCGUAAUGAUGGCCAGGCUGUCUCCACCCGAGACUCAGUGAAAUUGAACUCGCUGUGAAGAUGCAGUGUACCCGCGGCAAGACGGAAAGACCCCGUGAACCUUUACUAUAGCUUGACACUGAACACUGGUCCUUGAUGUGUAGGAUAGGUGGGAGGCUUUGAAGCGUGGACGCCAGUCUGCGUGGAGCCAUCCUUGAAAUACCACCCUUUAAUGGCUGGUGUUCUAACGUAGACCCGUAAUCCGGGUUGCGGACAGUGUCUGGUGGGUAGUUUGACUGGGGCGGUCUCCUCCCAAAGAGUAACGGAGGAGCACGAAGGUUAGCUAAUCCUGGUCGGACAUCAGGAGGUUAGUGCAAUGGCAUAAGCUAGCUUGACUGCGAGAGUGACGGCUCGAGCAGGUGCGAAAGCAGGUCAUAGUGAUCCGGUGGUUCUGAAUGGAAGGGCCAUCGCUCAACGGAUAAAAGGUACUCCGGGGAUAACAGGCUGAUACCGCCCAAGAGUUCAUAUCGACGGCGGUGUUUGGCACCUCGAUGUCGGCUCAUCACAUCCU
rnacentral:rRNA from 1 species